rnacentral:rRNA from 1 species
AUUGAACGCUGGCGGCAUGCUUUACACAUGCAAGUCGAACGGUAACAGGCCGCAAGGUGCUGACGAGUGGCGAACGGGUGAGUAAUGCAUCGGAACGUGCCCAGUCGUGGGGGAUAACUGCUCGAAAGAGCAGCUAAUACCGCAUACGAGCUAUGGAUGAAAGCGGGGGACCGUAAGGCCUCGCGCGAUUGGAGCGGCCGAUGUCAGAUUAGGUAGUUGGUGGGGUAAAGGCUCACCAAGCCAACGAUCUGGAGCUGGUCUGAGAGGACGACCAGCCACACUGGGACUGAGACACGGCCCAGACUCCUACGGGAGGCAGCAGUGGGGAAUUUUGGACAAUGGGGGCAACCCUGAUCCAGCAAUGCCGCGUGCAGGAAGAAGGCCUUCGGGUUGUAAACUGCUUUUGUACGGAACGAAACGGUCUGGGUUAAUACCUUGGGCUAAUGACGGUACCGUAAGAAUAAGCACCGGCUAACUACGUGCCAGCCGCCGCAGUAACAC